AUGAACGCUGGCGGCGUGCUUAACACAUGCAAGUCGAACGGAAAGGCUCCUGCUUGCAGGGGUACUCGAGUGGCGAACGGGUGAGUAACACGUGGGUGAUCUGCCCUGCACUUCGGGAUAAGCCUGGGAAACUGGGUCUAAUACCGGAUAGGCCGAUGGUUUGGAUGCCAUUGUGGAAAGUUUUUCGGUGUGGGAUGAGCUCGCGGCCUAUCAGCUUGUUGGUGGGGUAAUGGCCUACCAAGGCGUCGACGGGUAGCCGGGCUGAGAGGGUGUACGGCACAAUGGGGAGUGGGAUACGGCCCAGACCCACGCGGGGGGGAGGGGUGGGAAAUAUUGCAAAAGGGGCGAAAGCCGGAUGCAGGGACGCCGGGGGGGGGAUGACGGCCUUCGGGUGGGAAACUCUUUUCGCUAGGGACGAAGCGAAAGUGACGGUACCUGGGAAAAAAGCACCGGCAAACUACGU
rnacentral:rRNA from 1 species